UACGAAGGGGACUAGCGUUGUUCGGAUUUACUGGGCGUAAAGCGCGCGUAGGCGGAUCGCUAAGUCAGGGGUGAAAUCCCAGGGCUCAACCCUGGAACUGCCUUUGAUACUGACGAUCUGGAGAUCGGGAGAGGUUGGUGGAAUUCCGAGCGUAGAGGUGAAAUUCGUAGAUAUUCGGAGGAACACCAGAAGCGAAGGCGGCCAACUGGCCCGAUACUGACGCUGAGGCGCGAAAGCGUGGGGAGCAAACAGG
rnacentral:rRNA from 1 species